rnacentral:lncRNA from 1 species
AUAGCCACCACUAUAACCAGAAUGGCCAUGGGGGCCUCCACAGAGUCCAGAGAGGAGGCAAAUCCAUCAGAGCCGCCUCAAGACCCAGGAACCAGCAAGACGGUGAUCUCCCAGUCCGCUAUCAGGGUAUGACUCAACCCUUGGCCUCCAAUCUCCCCAACAUUCUGAAGCAUACACCGCAUGAGAUCUUACCAUUAAGAGGCGAUUUCGAGCGAUCGAUGAGCGGAUGGAUGCUAUCUGCAACACCUCCCCAGCAUAGCCUUAUGAUGGGUUUAGCAGCGAACCGCCAUUCACCCCAA